rnacentral:rRNA from 1 species
CCUACGGGAGGCAGCAGUGGGGAAUUUUGGACAAUGGGCGCAAGCCUGAUCCAGCAAUGCCGCGUGAGUGAAGAAGGCCUUCGGGUUGUAAAGCUCUUUUGUCAGGGAAGAAACGGCUCCAGCUAAUAUCUGGGGCUAAUGACGGUACCUGAAGAAUAAGCACCGGCUAACUACGUGCCAGCAGCCGCGGUAAUACGUAGGGUGCAAGCGUUAAUCGGAAUUACUGGGCGUAAAGCGUGCGCAGGCGGUUUUGUAAGUCUGUCGUGAAAGCCCCGGGCUCAACCUGGGAAUUGCGAUGGAGACUGCAAGGCUUGAAUCUGGCAGAGGGGGGUAGAAUUCCACGUGUAGCAGUGAAAUGCGUAGAGAUGUGGAGGAACACCGAUGGCGAAGGCAGCCCCCUGGGUCAAGAUUGACGCUCAUGCACGAAAGCGUGGGGAGCAAACAGGAUUAGAUACCCUGGUAGUCCACGCCCUAAACGAUGUCUACUAGUUGUCGGGUUUUAAUUAACUUGGUAACGCAGCUAACGCGUGAAGUAGACCGCCUGGGGAUACGGUCGCAAGNUUAAAACUCAAAAGGAAUUGACGG